rnacentral:tRNA from 1 species
GGGCAUGUAGCUCAGCGGUAGAGCAUUUCUCUUAUAAAGAAAAGGUCCUGGGUUCGAUCCCCAGCAUGCCCAUCA